rnacentral:rRNA from 1 species
CGAACGCUUGCGGCGUGCCUAACACAUGCAAGUCGAACGAGAAAGCCCUGCUUGCAGGGUGAGUAAAGUGGCGAACGGGUGAGUAACACGUGGGUAAUCUGCCAUAGGGACAGGGAUAACAUCCCGAAAGGGGUGCUAAUACCUGGUAAGAUAAUGACUCCGCAUGGAGAUAUUAUGAAAGGUGACCUCUUCUUGAAAGUUGCUGCCCUUUGAUGAGCCCGCGUACCAUUAGCUUGUUGGUAGGGUAAUGGCCUACCAAGGCUAAGAUGGUUAGCUGGUCUGAGAGGAUGAUCAGCCACACUGGAACUGAGACACGGUCCAGACUCCUACGGGAGGCAGCAGUGGGGAAUAUUGCGCAAUGGGGGAAACCCUGACGCAGCAACGCCGCGUGAGUGAUGAAGGCCCUUGGGUCGUAAAGCUCUGUCAGGUGGGAAGAGAACGGACGGUACCACCAAAGGAAGCACCGGCUAACUCC